GGGGAUUUAGCUCAGUUGGUAGAGUGCUUGUUUAGUAUGUGAUACACCGUGGGAUUGAUUCCUACUUUCUCCU
rnacentral:tRNA from 1 species